GUCACUAACUACAGUCCAUACUUUUGUUCCCAUUUCUUUAGUUCUCACCUAAGGUCCUCUUUCUGUCUCGGAUUCCAUUUUGGAUGCGAAUGGAAAUUGGAUGUGUCCUUAGACUCCUCAUGGACAUGGCAGUUUAUCAGGCUUUCCUUGGUUUCAAUGACCUGAACAGUCAAUUUCGGGAGUACCAGUCGGAUAUUUUGUAGAAUGUCCCUUUAUUGGGAUUUGUCUGAUGUUUUUCUCAUGACUAGACUGUAGUCAUGGAUUCUGGGGAGAAAGUCACAGAUUCCACAGAUGCCAUUUUCAUCACAUCAUAUCAAGGAUAACAUAGCAUCAACAUGACUUGUCACUGUGCUGGUGAUCUUGAGCAUCCGGUUGAGCUUUGGCCAUUGGGAGCUCUUUCAGUUGGCUCCUGUGUUCCUUUGAAUAUACUCUCAUCAUUCCCUAGAAUCAUUCGUGUCUCCAAGAAUCCCUGGUUCUUUUUAUUGGAUAAUGGCCUUGGAAAUCAACACCCAGGCACCAGGGCCACACAGGGUGCCAACAUCCAAUCUCAAGAUCUUCGGGAAAUAUGCUCACCCUCCAAAAUACUUACAGAUGUGUCUCCUCUUUUUUGUAAAAUAAAUGCUCUUCUUAUAUUUGGUGUUUCCUUGGUAUGGCCACAAGAUUAUUUAGUAUGACAUAUUUAAUGGUGAAGAUAAAGGGUCUUUAAUGGCUUCAGAAGUGCCCUGGGCUGAAACUUGAUCUGAGAAGGUUAUUAUCAGAACUGUGUUCCAAGAGAAAGCAGUGUGCUAGCUCUACAUGUAUACAUGAGUUGCCAUCAACAUGAAUUCAAUUACAAUGAAGAUGAUUUGGAGUAGACAAUUGUAUUUUGGUUGCAUGACAUCCAUUUUAUCUUAGUGUAAUAACACCACAGGUUUUUUUUUUUUUUUGAUGGGGAGGGGGAAUAAAUUACCUUUACCCUGUUAGAUAUACUCUUACAGUUUUUUUUUUUUUUUAAUAAAUUACCUUUUACCCCAUUAGAUAUUCUCCCAAACAGGCAUCAGAUGUGUGGCCAAAGCCAGAUCAAUCAAAAUAAACUUCAGGAAUUUUACAGGAACUAUUUAAAAAAAAAAAAAAAAGAGUUUCUCUUUCCUGAGAGACACGAUUUUGGGAAGAGCAUUCCACUUUAAAGGCAGAGUCUGGAGCUGCUGAGGCUGCCACGUGGAGACUGGAAAUAGCAAUAAUCUAAUAGAAGCUAGAGAAACCGAGCACUCAUGGCCUAAUGUGAUCCUGCAUCAAGGUGUGUUCAAACACAGACCUAUCCUUUGAUUUUUACCUUUGAGAUUUACAAGAACCAAUAAUUCCCUUUUUGGCCUAAGAUAAUGUGUGUCAGGAAUUCUAUGAUUUAUCACUGAAAUCCAGACUUGUCAUAUUUUUCUACAAUUGUUCAAAAUUAUUAUUUUAUCAUUUUCUAUUUAUAAUGGAAUUUCGAUGAGCUGUUUCAAGGAAGACAAAAAUAGAGUGAAUAUUUUAAAUUUAGAUAUAAUCCCAUUUUCAUUUUUUUCAACUUUAAUUCUUUCUCUCUCAGCAAAUAUUUUGUCAAGAUCACGAUGCUAUAAUAAUAAGCACUAUUAUGGGCUGAUUAGGAUUUCACUGCUUUUUUUCCUAUGCCGAAACAUAUUCCCUUGUAUGCUGCUAGUAAAAUUGUCAAAUAGGGACAAAAACAAACAAACAUAGGACAUAGAUGAUUUAUCAAUUUGAUAAACAGUUGAGAGUUGGCUGCAUUUAUUUUCAAUGGCAAAUAAUAAUAACAAUAAUGGUAGCUAGCAUUUACUGAAUGCUUUGUCUAUGGGGAGCUCUAUGAAAAGCGCUUUACAUAAACUAACUCAUUUUAUCCUUAAACUUACCCGGGAGGCAGUGGCGUGCUGGUAAAAUGGCUCUGGGGGAUGAGGAGGGAAGCCAGAUUGACAGUUGACUCAUUUUUGUGGUGUAAAUACUCCCACCCUGGCUGAUUUCAAGCAACUGACAGUUUAAAUAUUAGUUUGCAAAAUUCUUGCAUAUUUAACAAUCAGCUCUUUGGAUAAGGUAAAAUAGACUCCAGUCCACCACUGGAGGAAACUAAAUCAGAAGACAGACCAUGCAGCUUCCUUAACUCUAGCAGUUUGUAAACCCGUUUGUACUACUCCAGAGCACACCUCUGGAGUACAGAGUGGAGUGUCAACCUCUGUACUCCUUUCUAAUCAUGGGGCAGAUUUUUGCUGUGUUUAAAAAGAGUGCUUCAAUGUUCUGUAUUUUAUGGGUGAACAGCAAAAAUUGAUAUUAAAUAUGAUACUUGUAUCAUGUCUUCGGUUAACAGACACCAAGCUAUUCUGCUACAGAAUGUUUUGAAGAUAACUGUGUCUAGUGCAUGUCUGGGCACGUUAACAAAAAUUAAAGAAUGAUAAAAAGGAUGGAGCAUCAAUUAUGAGUGAUCUCUUGGAAUGUUUCAGCCCCAAA